rnacentral:rRNA from 1 species
GGUUAAGCGACUAAGCGUACACGGUGGAUGCCCUGGCAGUCAGAGGCGAUGAAGGACGUGCUAAUCUGCGAUAAGCGUCGGUAAGGUGAUAUGAACCGUUAUAACCGGCGAUUUCCGAAUGGGGAAACCCAGUGUGUUUCGACACACUAUCAUUAACUGAAUCCAUAGGUUAAUGAGGCGAACCGGGGGAACUGAAACAUCUAAGUACCCCGAGGAAAAGAAAUCAACCGAGAUUCCCCCAGUAGCGGCGAGCGAACGGGGAGCAGCCCAGAGCCUGAAUCAGUGUGUGUGUUAGUGGAAGCGUCUGGAAAGGCGCGCGAUACAGGGUGACAGCCCCGUACACAAAAAUGCACAUGCUGUGAGCUCGAUGAGUAGGGCGGGACACGUGGUAUCCUGUCUGAAUAUGGGGGGACCAUCCUCCAAGGCUAAAUACUCCUGACUGACCGAUAGUGAACCAGUACCGUGAGGGAAAGGCGAAAAGAACCCCGGCGAGGGGAGUGAAAAAGAACCUGAAACCGUGUACGUACAAGCAGUGGGAGCCUCUUUAUGGGGUGACUGCGUACCUUUUGUAUAAUGGGUCAGCGACUUAUAUUCUGUAGCAAGGUUAACCGAAUAGGGGAGCCGAAGGGAAACCGAGUCUUAACUGGGCGUUAAGUUGCAGGGUAUAGACCCGAAACCCGGUGAUCUAGCCAUGGGCAGGUUGAAGGUUGGGUAACACUAACUGGAGGACCGAACCGACUAAUGUUGAAAAAUUAGCGGAUGACUUGUGGCUGGGGGUGAAAGGCCAAUCAAACCGGGAGAUAGCUGGUUCUCCCCGAAAGCUAUUUAGGUAGCGCCUCGUGAAUUCAUCUCCGGGGGUAGAGCACUGUUUCGGCAAGGGGGUCAUCCCGACUUACCAACCCGAUGCAAACUGCGAAUACCGGAGAAUGUUAUCACGGGAGACACACGGCGGGUGCUAACGUCCGUCGUGAAGAGGGAAACAACCCAGACCGCCAGCUAAGGUCCCAAAGUCAUGGUUAAGUGGGAAACGAUGUGGGAAGGCCCAGACAGCCAGGAUGUUGGCUUAGAAGCAGCCAUCAUUUAAAGAAAGCGUAAUAGCUCACUGGUCGAGUCGGCCUGCGCGGAAGAUGUAACGGGGCUAAACCAUG